AUUACGGGGUGCAGAGGCGCGAAAACUUUACCAUGCGGGCAACCGUGAUAAGGAAACCCCGAGUGCCAGCACAGGCUGGCUGUCCACCAGUGUAAAUAACUGGUGAAGAAAGGGCCGGGCAAGACCGGUGCCAGCCGCCGCGGUAAUACUGGCGGCUCGAGUGGUGGCCGCUAUUACUGGGCUUAAAGGGUCCGUAGCUGGAUAUACAAGUCCCUUGAGAAAUCCGCCGGCUUAACCGGUGGGCGUUCAGGGGAAACUGUAUUUCUAGGGACCGGGAGAGGUGAGAGGUACUGCCGGGGUAGGAGUGAAAUCCUGUAAUCCCGGUGGGACCACCUAUGGCGAAGGCAUCUCACCAGAACGGGUCCGACAGUGAGGGACGAAAGCUGGGGGAGCAAACCGGAUUAGAUACCCGGGUAGUCCCAGCUGUAAACGAUGCGCGUUAGGUGUGUCAGUGACCACGUGUCACUGAGGUGCCGAAGGGAAACCGUGAAACGCGCCGCCUGGGGAGUACGGCCGCAAGGCUGAAACUUAAAGGAAUUGGCGGGGGAGCACAAU
rnacentral:rRNA from 1 species